AUUGAACGCUGGCGGCAGGCUUAACACAUGCAAGUCGAACGAGUGGCGGACGGGUGAGUAAUGUCUGGGAAACUGCCCGAUGGAGGGGGAUAACUACUGGAAACGGUAGCUAAUACCGCAUACCAUCGGAUGUGCCCAGAUGGGAUUAGCUAUUAGGUGGGGUAACGGCUCACCUAGGCGACGAUCCCUAGCUGGUCUGAGAGGAUGACCAGCCACACGGGAACUGGGACACGGUCCAGACUCCUACGGGCGGCAGCAGAGUGGAAUAUUGCACAAUGGGCGCAAGCCUGAUGCAGCCAUGCCGCGUGUAUGAAGAAGGCCUUCGGGUUGUAAAGUACUUUCAGUCGGGAGGCGUUACCUACAGAAGAAGCACCGGCUAACUCCGUGCCAGCCGCCGCGGUAAUAC
rnacentral:rRNA from 1 species